UACGUAGGGAGCAAGCGUUGUCCGGAAUCAUUGGGCGUAAAGCGCGCGUAGGCGGCCCUGUAAGUCCGUUGUGAAAGUCAAAGGCUCAACCUUUGAAAGCCGAUGGAUACUGCAGGGCUAGAGUCCGGAAGAGGCGAGUGGAAUUCCUGGUGUAGCGGUGGAAUGCGCAGAUAUCAGGAGGAACACCAAUAGCGAAGGCAGCUCGCUGGGACGGUACUGACGCUAAGGGCGCGAAAGCGUGGGGAGCGAACAGGA
rnacentral:rRNA from 1 species